CUCAGUUCGGAUUGUAGGCUGAAACUCGCCUACAUGAAGCUGGAGUUACUAGUAAUCGCAGAUCAGAAUGCUGCGGUGAAUGCGUUCCCGGGUCUUGUACACACCGCCCGUCACACCACGGGAGUUGGAGACGCCCGAAGCCGAUUAUCUAACCUUUUGGAAGAAGUCGUCGAAGGUGGAAUCAAUAACUGGGGUGAAGUCGUAACAAGGUAGCCGUAUCGGAAGGGGCGGCUGGAUCACCUCCUUUCUAAGGAGA
rnacentral:rRNA from 1 species